UACGUAGGGGGCAAGCGUUGUCCGGAUUUAUUGGGCGUAAAGAGCGUGUAGGCGGCUUUACAGGUCCGUUGUGAAAACUCGAGGCUCAACCUCCAGACGUCGACGGAAACCGUGUGGCUAGAGUCCGGAAGAGGAGAGUGGAAUUCCUGGUGUAGCGGUGAAAUGCGCAGAUAUCAGGAGGAACACCGAUGGCGAAGGCAGCUCGCUGGGACGUGACUGACGCUGAGACGCGAAAGCGUGGGGGAGCAAACAGG
rnacentral:rRNA from 1 species